CCUACGGGAGGCAGCAGUGGGGAAUAUUGGACAAUGGGGGCAACCCUGAUCCAGCCAUGCCGCGUGUGUGAAGAAGGCCCUCGGGUUGUAAAGCACUUUCAGUGAGGAAGAACGCCUGGUGGUUAAUACCCAUCAGGAAAGACAUCACUCACAGAAGAAGCACCGGCUAACUCCGCGCCAGCAGCCGCGGUAAUACGGAGGGUGCGAGCGUUAAUCGGAAUUACUGGGCGUAAAGCGCGCGUAGGUGGCUUGAUAAGCCGGUUGUGAAAGCCCCGGGCUCAACCUGGGAACGGCAUCCGGAACUGUCAAGCUAGAGUGCAGGAGAGGAAGGUAGAAUUCCCGGUGUAGCGGUGAAAUGCGUAGAGAUCGGGAGGAAUACCAGUGGCGAAGGCGGCCUUCUGGACUGACACUGACACUGAGGUGCGAAAGCGUGGGUAGCAAACAGGAUUAGAUACCCUUGUAGUC
rnacentral:rRNA from 1 species